CCUCGACACGCAGAGCAACCACCACCAGCAGCAGCAGCAAUGGCCCGCACCUGCAGCAUGGUCCUCAUCGCCGCACUCCUCCUGGCCGCUGUCGCGGUAGCACCGUUUGCGGGGGCAGCGCGCGACGUCGCUGACAACGAGGGCAGGGACCUGUCGUCCGCCGACGCGCCAGCCUCCGACGCGCCCGCCCCGGGGCCCGACGCCGCCUCGUCCCCAGACUCCUCGGAAGCACCAUCGUCGAGUUCUGAUGCGUAACCAGCGUACAUAACUUGACCAUACAUGAUGAUACAUUUCAAUUUGGAGUUUUUCCAUUACCUUUUUCUUCCCUUUUCGUAUGCACUCAUCGCCCAUGGUGCGAUAAGACAAUUAUUGGUUUUUAUUACUUUAUUAAGAGAAAUUUUCCUUUACCUUUCCCUUCCAUUUUCAUAUGUAUACCAACUAUUCUAAACUCCGUUUGCAUUCAUAAUUGAACCCCGGGACACUAGAUCCCGUGAUGUUCUUGAUACUCAUUACAUAUUCAUGUAGAUUCGCUUCUCAAUUUGUUGGACUGUGAUCCAUUGGGUGGCCAUCAUUAAUCAUAAGAGUUAACGGUUGAGCUAAAGGCACAGUUGAGACAUCAAUUCUUGAUGGAGGAAAUUAUUCUCCUCUGCUGGACCAUCUGGACAACAAGAAAUGAGAUUAUCUCUUCAAUGGAAUCAGUCUAAACUUUGUUGGCUGUCAAAGAAUCCUUCACAUGGAGUUAAAUCUCCUGAAGCAUAGACUGAAGGCAGGCCAUCAAGAUCAAUUUUCUUCAUGGAUUCAGAGUCUAGAAUAAUCUGUUGGUUGACUCUUAUUUUCUUAAUCUCCUUUUCUAUCUCUUAAUUUUGUUGUGUUCCCGCUCCCCCCCUAUUUUGAAGCUCUGGUUUGUUUGCUGUAGGGGGCCUCAAACCCUCCAGUUUUGUCAAAAAAAUUGCGUGUUUUUUUGUUAAGAGAGAAUAGUUUGAUUACAA